rnacentral:rRNA from 1 species
CCUACGGGUGGCAGCAGUGGGGAAUAUUGGGCAAUGGGCGCAAGCCUGACCCAGCAACGCCGCGUGAAGGAAGAAGGCUUUCGGGUUGUAAACUUCUUUUGUCAGGGAAGAGUAGAAGACGGUACCUGACGAAUAAGCCACGGCUAACUACGUGCCAGCAGCCGCGGUAAUACGUAGGUGGCAAGCGUUGUCCGGAUUUACUGGGGGUAAAGGGCGUGUAGCCGGGUUUAUAAGUCAGAUGUGAAAUCCUUCGGCUUAACCGCAGAACUGCAUUUGAAACUGUUGAACUUGAGUACUGGAGAGGCAGGCGGAAUUCCUAGUGUAGCGGUGAAAUGCGUAGAUAUUAGGAGGAACACCAGUGGCGAAGGCGGUCCUCUGGACAGCAACUGACGGUGAGGCGCGAAAGCGUGGGGAGCAAACAGGAUUAGAUACCCUGGUAGUC